AAAGGAUUUGGGGUCAGAAUAGCCAGAAAAAACAUGCUGGCUUGCAUACUGCAAAAUCUGACGAGAUGCAGUAGGACAUCCUGGUAUUUUUGGCAUACUGCAUUUGACAUAUUGUGCAUAGGUACAUACU